rnacentral:lncRNA from 1 species
UGUGGAAUAUUAUUUUAUUUUCUUUCUCCUGUAGUAACCUAUGUUAUCCAUCAUUUGAGAACCACGAUAUUGUUCUCCUUUGGUCUUCUUUCCUUUUUAUCCCUUUCCCCAAAUGGAAAAUUUUUCUCCCAGCUGUCGCCCACAGGGUCAACAUUUUCUGCCACCCACCCCCACCACCCUCCGACGACCACUGUCAGUCAUGGGGUCACAGAAUUAUGGUUUCUGAACUGGCUGGAUCUAGAGUCUGGAUACAUCAAAGAAGCGCUUCAGUUAAAGGUGUUGUAAAUUCAAACACUGAAGACAGGUAGAGAAAAUCAGGACUCCACUGCACCAUCCGGUGGCACAAUGUUAUAUUGCACAUACAAUGCAUAUCAAUCGCUUUUUCUUUGCCCAUCUAAUGAUGAUGAUGAUGAUAAUAAUAAUUUAUUAUUUAUACCUCACCCAUCUGGUUGGGUUUCCCCAGCCACUCUGGGCGGCUCCCAAUUGAACGUUAAAACAAUACAGCAUUAAAUAUUAAAACUUAAAACUAUUAUCAAACUAUUAAAAAUAAAAUAAAUAAAUAAAUGUAGCUGAGUUUGCAGGGACGAAUUUGGGAGGGGAGUCAGGCCCUUGGCAAAUAAAAGUAGGGUUUCCCCUAACCUAUCCCAUCUUAUGGGGGGAGGGUAGCAGGGAUUCCCCUAAUGUCAUCUCAUUGGAUCCUGCAGGGAAUGAAACGGGGGGUGGAGCACAACCCCCCAGCUAAGUUUGGAGGAUGGGCCAAGAAGUAUAGCUGGUCAUUGGAAGGCAGACGUACCCAAAGCCUUCAAAAUGUGCACUUCCCUCCAUUUUGCAACACAAUUCCCCAGCUCAGCAAUGUGUACUGGGGUCAAGCAGGCAUCAUCAACAUUGUCUUUUACUUUAGUUCAUAAAAUUUAUACACCGCUUGAUUUUAAAAACAGGAACCACCACAAAAAAAGGAUCAAAACCAGAACAGAGUCCUUAAGAAUGGAACAGAGGUUGGCUGGCACAUGGUGCAUCAGGAGGAAGGAGGGCGAGUGCCUUGCACGAGUGCUAAUCUUUCCACUAGCGUAAUUUAGUUGAAUUACCACCCAACUUGCCGAUCGGAAGGUUGGCGGUUCAAAUACCUGAGAUGGGUUGAGCUCCUGUUGCUCAGUCCCAUCUCCUGCCAUCAUAGCAUGUUCUCUCCCUCCUGGUCAGUUGUUCGGGAGCUUCAAAAGCUUUCUCCAGCCGAACAUCACAGCGACCGAUACCAAAAGGCAUUAGCACACUUAGGAAGAGCAGAGUGUUAGCAGUUUGCUUGUGCUGGUCCCGGGGGGUUACUGUGCGGCGAGGUUCGAGUCCAGUCAAAGGUCAAGGGUGCGGUAUGGAGGCUGUCCGUUAAAGCUGAAGCGGGGUCAAGGCAGGGAGUCGGGUGAGGUCAGGAACUCUGGCAGAAGAGCAGGACAGGCUGCUGGCAAGAACUGUUACCAACAAUGUUGCUCCUGCAACCUGGGACUGGGCUGGCCGGCUUUUAUCUGCCCCGAGGCAUAGGGCGGCCCCGGUCCACAGGUGACUCGCCUCUCCUGGCCUGGAGGCAAGCACUCCUCCUGCAAGAACUUAGUUCCCUCCGCCUCUCUGCCCUGAGCCUCUGCAGCUCAGGAGAGGCUGGAGGGUUACCGGACCCAGAGGCAACCUCACCUUCCCCUGACAGGGCUGAGAGUGGAGCAUCUGCAGGCAAUGGGUCCUCCAUCACCUCCGGAGCCAGAGCAGACUCAGCUGGUGUCUGCUCCUGAGGAUCCUGCACAGGUGAGGACCCUUCAGGCUCAAGCCCCAGCCCCGGCUCAGCUGGUCCUGGAGGCGGGGACUCCUGUGCAGGCUGGGAUUCCUCAGGUUCAGCCUCCGAGUCUGAAUCCCAGGCCAUCAAACUGCUUAACAAACUCAGUAGCACAGCAUUUUGGCUAAACUACUUUAUUUACAUAUAAAACACUUGGAGCAUUCUGACUCAGCACCUUCCUCUUUCUCACCAGACAGCAAAGAGAGAAAGAACAAAGGACAAUAGCCCCACAUCACGGAACACUGUAAUACAAACAUCCUGUCUCCGUCACUUCCCACUAUGUGGAAUGAAAACAUACACCGUCAUGUGACAUAAAACAAUCCCGUGACUGCAAGCACGGAGCAAGAAUCCUAACAUUCUCCCCUGAUUCGUGUACCGUGUUGUAAUCAUCAGUGUAACUGCAACAAUCAUACAGAUGUCAUACACACAGUAUACCCCUGUUUCACCCGUUCCACCCUUGGAACUACCCGCAACUGGCCUGGCCUUGGGCCUUACCAUCUUGCACUUCUGACUAGUCUCUCCUGACUAUCAAGAAGUUUCACACCUUGCUUCGUCAGGACUCAAACCCUAGCCUCGUUCCUCUCUGAGGAAACUGUGUCCACCCUUACAGCCUUUCUGCGUGGUUUUCUAUCCUUUGAGGACAAACCCUGUACCCUUUCAAGACUUUGGGUUCCAAGGCCUGUGUCGAGCUAGUAGUCACAGCUAAAUCUGCAACAGCUGUGUUAGCAAACUCACGAGCAUACCUGGUGGUAGCUGUCUCAGAUCUGCGCAUCAGGCGCACGUCUUUCACUGUAUCAGUGAAACUCACCUCACUUUCAGCAACAGCAGUAGACUCAGUAUCUGAGUCUGAAGCAAUGGGGUAGCUUUGGAAAAUACAUUUCCUUCCCACUUUGCACUGCACUCAACAUCCCUAGUGAGUAAGAUCACCUUGGUACGACCCUGAUGGUUUCUCUUUGGCAUUCUGUGAAUGUUGUUGUUGUUUAGUCGUUUAGUCGUGUCUGACUCUUUGUGACCCCAUGGACCAGAGCACGCCAGGCACUUCUGUCUUCCACUGCCUCCCGCAGUUUGGUCAAACUCAUGCUGGUAGCUUCGAGAACACUGUCCAACCAUCUCGUCCUCUGUCAUCCCCUUCUCCUUGUGUCCUCCAUCUUUCCCAACAUCAGGGGCUUUUCCAGGGAGUCUUCUCUUCUCAUGAGGUGGCCAAAGUCUUGGAGCCUCAGCUUCACGAUCUGUCCUUCCAGUGAGCACUCAGGGCUGAUUUCCUUAAGAAUGGAGAGGUUUGAUCUUCUUGCAGUCCAUGGGACUCUCAAGAGUCUCCUCCAGCAGCAUAAUUCAAAAGCAUCAAUUCUUCGGCGAUCAGCCUUCUUUAUGGUCCAGCUCUCACUUCCAUACAUCACUACUGGGAAGACCAUGGCUUUAACUAUACGGACCUUUGUUGGUAAGGUGAUGUCUCUGCUUUUUAAGAUGCUGUCUAGGUUUGCCAUCGCCUUUCUCCCAAGGAGCAAGCGUCUUUUAAUUUCGUGACUGCUGUCACCAUCUGCAGUGAUCAUGGAGCCCAAGAAGGUAAAAUCUCUCACUGCCUCCAUUUCUUCCCCUUCUAUUUGCCAGGAGGUGAUGGGACCAGUAGCCAUGAUCUUCGUUUUUUUUGAUGUUGAGCUUCAGACCAUAUUUUGCGCUCUCCUCUUUCACCCUCAUUAAAAGGUUCUUUAAUUCCUCCUCACUUUCUGCCAUCAAGGUUCUGUCAUCUGCAUAUCUGAGGUUGUUUAUAUUUCUUCCGGCAAUCUCAAUUCCGGCUAGGGAUUCAUCCAGCCCAGCCUUUCGCAUGAUGAAUUCUGCAUAUAAGUUAAAUAAGCAGGGAGACAAUAUACAGCCUUCUCGUACUCCUUUCCCAAUUUUGAACCAAUCAGUUGUUCCAUAUCCAGUUCUAACUGUAGCUUCUUGUCCCACAUAGAGAUUUCUCAGGAGACAGAUGAGGUGAUCAGGCACUCCCAUUUCUUUAAGAACUUGCCAUAGUUUGCUGUGGUCGACACAGUCAAAGGCUUUGGCAUAGUCAAUGAAGCAGAAGUAGAUGUCUUUCUGGAACUCUCUAGCUUUCUCCAUAAUCCAGCGCAUGUUUGCAAUUUGGUCUCUGGUUCCUCUGCCCCUUCGAAAUCCAGCUUGCACUUCUGGGAGUUCUCGGUCCACAUACUGCUGGAGCCUUCCUUGUAGAAUUUUAAGCAUAACCUUGCUAGCGUGUGAAAUGAGUGCAAUUGUGCGCUAGUUGGAGCAUUCUAUGAAUACCCCCACCUCAUUUUGCAUGCUUUUGCCGGGCUUAUUCAGAUGGUGUGGCCUCGGCCAGUGAUAGGUUUCCCACCCCUUUUGCCAGAGAUCCUUGUAAGAGGAGAUGUUAGGGAACAAAGCUUUUUGUCUUUCAGAGUGCAGAGUGUGAGCUCCCCUGCGAUGCUGCAAUCCCAUACGCUGAGGCAAAGCGGCCACUUCUUCUUUGGCCACAGCUUCCUUGCGAUUUGACACAGGCAAACCUUGCACAGCCUGGCCUGGCUCGUUUCUAAAGCCCCACCUGCAGUCCUUGUAAGAUGGAGAGUGCAAUCCCCUGCACAUUUACAAAGGAGGAUGUUGCAUUGAAAUCCCUGGGACGAUUUGGAGUAAUUGUUUGCAAUAAAUGCAUAGAUGUUGUUGCUAAGCUCCUCUGUCAUAAAAAAAAACAUAGGAAGCAUCUCAGUACUUUUGUUGUCAAUAUACUUGUUAAAACCGGGGGGGGGGGGGCAGUUGCAAACCUUGAAAAUCUGAAGUCCCCAUUGCAGCCUCCAACUAAGGCCAGGACAAUAAACCUGACCAUUCCCUUAGACUUCCUAAACCUUCAAAAAUUCACAAGAAGUCAACUGUUUGUCAGAUUCUUUCCAUUCCAAUGGCGUAUUACUCCUAAAGAGAAGGCGGACCCAGGCUCCUUCCUUCCUCCACAAUCCCCUGAGCGUAUGGUCACAUACUCCCCACUCCUCCACAAGGUGUGAAAUCAAACCCCAUAGUGGGAGGCAGAAGGUGUGUUCAAGAGCAACAGUGUCCCAGACAGAAAUCCAUUGGAUUAUGACCCAAUCUUUUCAAAAGACAAACAAGAAAGCCUGGAAGGUCACUCCAAGAGGAAUAAAACAUUAUUGCAGAACAACAUUAUUAAUCAUUAAUUAUUAGUAGCAGAAGCAAAAUAUAUAGAGUGGUGGGGAAGUUUUGUAGGACCAGAUUGUGGUACCUGAGUAAAGUCUCUUAAGAAUUAAACUCCUACAGACACCCUUGGGAAGAGGGCUUAGUGGCGCAGAGAACAAAUCAGCAGCUGCCUCUCCCUUGUGACUGUCCUCACCUCACAUAUUGCCUGAAGUCCCCAAGAUUGCAUCACGCCAGACAUCACAUAUGCUCCCUGCUAGAAGCACUCCCAGGGAACUGGAGCUGCUCUCUGGUGCUAUGGAAGGUAGGUGUCCUACAGGGAACAGAAGGCUACAGCUUAGGCAACCCUUAAGAUAGCUCUCUCUCUCCUCAAUUGACUGGAACCAAGGAGGAAUAUGAAUGGGGGAUGGACCUUCUGCUUUUGAUGGGCAGAAUCACCACACUGUUACACAAAAUCCCCCAAAAAGAGAGUAAGAGAGAACAGCCCACAGAUGAAUGGCGCCUUCUGACAACCAGUCUUCUGGAUCUGAACCGUGGUCACCAUUGACCUGAUAUUUCUGAUGCUAGGGCACAUGUGAGAUAAAAUCCCAGAGAGUUCUGCAUAGAUACUUCCUGGUGUCCGCAUCCUGUCACCUGAUGCAUUUUCAUGGACCAUGUAGAUUCUCUAUCAUUUGAUGCA